rnacentral:sRNA from 12 species
UGAAGCAUGCAAUAAUACCUUAUGAGGUGCCGUGGUGUUCCCCCGGAGGAUCCGGGAUCCAAGUCGCGGGUAAACCACCUUGUAAGACGCUGCUUCA